rnacentral:rRNA from 1 species
GACGAACGCUGGCGGCGUGCUUAACACAUGCAAGUCGAACGGAAAGGCCCUGCUUUUGUGGGGUGCUCGAGUGGCGAACGGGUGAGUAACACGUGAGUAACCUGCCCUUGACCUUGGGAUAACUUCAGGAAACUGGGGCUAAUACCGGAUAGGAGCUCCUGCUGCAUGGUGGUGGUUGGAAAGUUUCGGCGGUUGGGGAUGGACUCGCGGCUUAUCAGCUUGUUGGUGGGGUAGUGGCUUACCAAGGCUUUGACGGGUAGCCGGCCUGAGAGGGUGACCGGCCACAUUGGGACUGAGAUACGGCCCAGACUCCUACGGGAGGCAGCAGUGGGGAAUAUUGCACAAUGGGCGGAAGCCUGAUGCAGCAACGCCGCGUGCGGGAUGACGGCCUUCGGGUUGUAAACCGCUUUCGCCUGUGACGAAGCGUGAGUGACGGUAAUGGGGAAAGAAGCACCGGCUAACUACGU